CACGUAGGCACCAAGCGUUGUCCGGAUUUAUUGGGCGUAAAGAGCUCGUAGGCGGUUCGGUAAGUCGGGUGUGAAAACUCUGGGCUCAACCCAGAGCCGCCACCCGAUACUGCUGUGACUUGAGUUCGGUAGGGGAGCGGGGAAUUCCUGGUGUAGCGGUAAAAUGCGCAGAUAUCAGGAGGAACACCAGUGGCGAAGGCGCCGCUCUGGGCCGACACUGACGCUGAGGAGCGAAAGCGUGGGUAGCAAACAGG
rnacentral:rRNA from 1 species